CUAGCCACGCACAAAGAGAGGGACUUAACAGCAAGAGAAGACGUACUGUUGCCUUACGCGGCAGUUUGUGAUGGAUGCACGGGCUACGGGUGUUUGUUUCGUUUUGCUGCUUCUGUUGCUUGGAAAUCCAACUUCCGCAGGUGUUUUUUUUUUGUUCUUUUGUUAUCCUUUCAAGUCUCUAGUAGAUGUUGUUGAAUUUGAGAUGACUAGUUUUUCUUUACAAAUAAAGGAGAUGACUAGUUUCAUUUAGACAGAUGUGUGCAAAUUUUGUUGCACAUUCUACGAUUUCACACUUGUUUUAGGGGCAGAUAAUAUAGCCUUCACAGUAAUGUUGUGCUUAUGUUUGCCACAGAGCGCUGCGUCGAGGAUGGUGAAAAUGGACUGAUCUUCUGCACCGGAAUAUUCUGCAGGUGGACCUGCGGUUCCAUAGUGAACCAACGGGGUGGUGCUUAUUACAAGGACGCUCAUUGUGAUGGACACAAUUGCCACUGUACGAUUUGCUUCAGGGAGUGAAAGUAGGAAAUACCGUUCUUGAAUGAGAAAAUAAAUAAAUAAAUAAACAUACUGUGUUUUUUUAUGUUAUGGUUUAUUUCUUUGGAAGCAGAUGUAUGCUCGUCGUCAUUUACUAUUAUCAUAGAAAUAGCUGUCACAUAAAUAGUUGACAUAUCUUCUAUAUUUUUCUCCUUUUCUUGAAAAGGAGGCUGAACCAUCAGCCUCAUCGAUUUAUGUCCGCACCCAAUUUAUUGUGAAGUUUUAUGGCCCGUUGCUAAGAAAAGAAGUAUGUGACCUCAGCAAACAGCAAUUACACAACAUAUUACGUAUUACUUAUUCUAUUGCUACGCUGCCAUCCAAAGCAGUUAAACAAUACUCGUGCUACCAUCUCCAAGGGGGUACACCCACAAUGAAAAACUCUCGAACUUCCGCGCUCUAAAGUAAGAACCACCUAUGGAUUCAGUAAGUAGCAUUUAGAUAAGAAAAAAGGGG
rnacentral:lncRNA from 1 species